rnacentral:rRNA from 1 species
CGCGGCCUAUCAGCUUGUUGGUGAGGUAAUGGCUCACCAAGGCGACGACGGGUAGCCGGCCUGAGAGGGCGACCGGUCACACUGGGACUGAGACACGGCCCAGACUCCUACGGGAGGCAGCAGUGGGGAAUAUUGCACAAUGGGCGAAAGCCUGAUGCAGCGACGCCGCGUGAGGGAUGACGGCCUUCGGGUUGUAAACCUCUUUCAGCAGGGAAGAAGCGAAAGUGACGGUACCUGCAGAAGAAGCGCCGGCUAAUUACGUGCCAGCAGCCGCGGUAAUACGUAGGGCGCAAGCGUUGUCCGGAAUUAUUGGGCGUAAAGAGCUCGUAGGCGGCUUGUCACGUCGGUUGUGAAAGCCCGGGGCUUAACCCCGGGUCUGCAGUCGAUACGGGCAGGCUAGAGUUCGGUAGGGGAGAUCGGAAUUCCUGGUGUAGCGGUGAAAUGCGCAGAUAUCAGGAGGAACACCGGUGGCGAAGGCGGAUCUCUGGGCCGAUACUGACGCUGAGGAGCGAAAGCGUGGGGAGCGAACAGGAUUAGAUACCCUGGUAGUCCACGCCGUAAACGGUGGGCACUAGGUGUGGGCAACAUUCCACGUUGUCCGUGCCGCAGCUAACGCAUUAAGUGCCCCGCCUGGGGAGUACGG